rnacentral:rRNA from 1 species
CUGCAGUCGACGCUCUAGCAAUAGAGAGUGGCGCACGGGUGCGUAACACGUGGGAAUAUGCCUUUUGGUACGGAACAACGUUUGGAAACGAACGCUAAUACCGUAUGGUCCCUUCGGGGUAAAGAUUUAUCGCCAAAAGAGUAGCCCGCGCUGGAUUAGCUAGUUGGUGAGGUAAUGGCUCACCAAGGCGACGAUCCAUAGCUGGUCUGAGAGGACGAUCAGCCACACUGGGACUGAGACACGGCCCAGGCUCCUACGGGAGGCAGCAGUUAGGAAUAUUGGACAAUGGGCGCAAGCCUGAUCCAGCCAUGCCGCGUGAGUGAUGAAGGCCUUCGGGUUGUAAAGCUCUUUAGCCGAUGAUUAUAAUGACUGUAGCCGGAAAAUAAGCCCCGGCUAACUUCGUGCCAGCAGCCGCGGUAAUACGAAGGGGGCGAGCGUUAUUCGGAAUCACUGGGCGUAAAGCGUGCGUAGGCUGUUUGGCAAGUUGGAAGUGAAAGCCCAGGGCUCAACCCUGGAAUUGCUUUCAAAACUGCCAAACUCGAGACCGGGAGAGGAUAGCGGAAUUUCCAGUGUAGUAGUGAAAUACGUAGAUAUUGGAAGGAACACCAGUGGCGCAAGCGGCUAUCUGGACCGGUACUGACGCUGAGGCACGAAAGCGUGGGGACCAAACAGGAUUAGAUACCCUGGUAGUCCACGCUGUAAACGAUGCGAGUUUGUCGCUGGGGAGUUCACUCUUCGGUGACGUAGUUAACACGUUAAACUCGCCGCCUGGGAAGUACGGCCGCAAGGUUAAAACUCAAAGGAAUUGACGGGGACCCGCACAAGCGGUGGAGUAUGUGGUUUAAUUCGUCGCAACGCGAAGAACCUUACCAGGCCUUGACAUGCCCAUUAAGAAGAUCAGAGAUGAUUUUCGUCAUUUAGUUGGAUGGGACACAGGUGCUGCAUGGCUGUCGUCAGCUCGUGUCGUGAGAUGUUGGGUUAAGUCCCGCAACGAGCGC